rnacentral:misc_RNA from 1 species
GAUGAAGAACGCAGCGAAAUGCGAUAAGUAAUGUGAAUUGCAGAAUUCAGUGAAUCUUCGAAUCUUUGAACGCACAUUGCGCCCUCUGGUAUUCCGGGGGGCAUGCCUGUUCGAGCGUCAUUAUAACCACUCAAGCUCUCGCUUGGUAUUGGGGUUCGCGGUUUCGCGGCCCCUAAAAUCAGUGGCGGUGCCUGUCGGCUCUACGCGUAGUAAUACUUCUCGCGAUUGAGUUCGAUAGGUCUACUUGCCAGUAACCCCCAAUUUUUACAGGUUGACCUCGGAUCAGGUAGGGAUACCCGCUGAACUUAAGCAUAUCAAUAAGCGGAGGA